rnacentral:rRNA from 1 species
GACAGAGGCCUCAAGCGUUAGGCGGAAUCACUGGGCUUAAAGCGUGUGUAGGCGGAUCGUUAGGUGUCUUGUGAAAUCCCACGGCUCACCCGUGGAACGGCUGGGCAUACUGGCGAUCUUGGGCCAACUAGGGGCAACUGGAACAAGCGGUGGAGCGGUGAAAUGCGUAGAUAUCGCUUGGAACGCCGAAGGUGAAAACAGGUUGCUGGGGUUGUGCCGACGCUGAGACACGAAAGCCAGGGGAGCAAACGGG